rnacentral:rRNA from 1 species
UACAGAGGUCUCAAGCGUUGUUCGGAAUUACUGGGCGUAAAGGGCUCGUAGGCGGCCAACUAAGUCACACGUGAAAUCCCCAGGCUUAACCUGGGAACUGCGUGUGAUACUGGAUGGCUUGAAUCCGGGAGAGGGAUGCGGAAUUCCAGGUGUAGCGGUGAAAUGCGUAGAUAUCUGGAGGAACACCGGUGGCGAAGGCGGCAUCCUGGACCGGUAUUGACGCUGAUGAGCGAAAGCCAGGGAGCAAACGGG